GAAAAAUGCCAGAUGGUUUUAUAAAGCAAAAGCAGUUAAAACCUUGUACUUACGCAUUUCUGUGCAAGCAGGCAAAAUGACAGAGUACAGGAAAUAAAGAGGAGUUAAAGAGUUUAUCCUGACUUUUAUGUGCUUAUAGACAAAUAUACUGUGCUGAGGAGAUUGGGGGUAGGUAGUUCUGUCAUUUCAGAAGGCUGAGAAACCUAAGAAACGGUGCAAUAGAAUAAUAAAAACUACCAUAAUAGCAUCCAUCAAACUCAUAGUUACUUCAUUUUCACUUUCUGGUGUUGGGUGGGUUCUCUUCCUUAGGCCAAAGAAGAAAGAAUAGUUGUCCUGGAAACUGAAAAUGCUGCUCUCCAUCUAAAACUUGCAGAGUAUCAAGGGUUGGCUGGAAGAAGCACAAAUGAAGUUUUGCAGCUCUACUCUGCUCAUAGCCAGCAGCAGAAAUUGCAGAAGAGUUCUGUUGUAAUCCGGAUGUAUAGAGCAAUAAAGAGGCUUAAGCGUGACCUGAAGAGCCUCCAUUCAUUCGCUCUUGAACUUUCAAAAGACUUUCAGCGUCAAAGCAAGACUUAUCUUUACCAAGUUUUGACAGCAGUCCAAGGGAUACAGCUGCAAAAUGAAGCAGUGCAAAUGUUUCAGAUAAAAGCUUUUGAUCUUGAGCAGUCUCUACAAGAGCUGACAGAGAGAUAUGAAGAAAGAAAAGCAAAAGAGGAGACGCUUUAACAUAACAGCUUAAG
rnacentral:lncRNA from 14 species